CCCCGGUAAACGGCGGCCGUAACUAUAACGGUCCUAAGGUAGCGAAAUUCCUUGUCGGGUAAGUUCCGACCUGCACGAAUGGCGUAAUGAUGGCCAGGCUGUCUCCACCCGAGACUCAGUGAAAUUGAACUCGCUGUGAAGAUGCAGUGUACCCGCGGCAAGACGGAAAGACCCCGUGAACCUUUACUAUAGCUUGACACUGAACAUUGAGCCUUGAUGUGUAGGAUAGGUGGGAGGCUUUGAAGUGUGGACGCCAGUCUGCAUGGAGCCGGCCUUGAAAUACCACCCUUUAAUGUUUGAUGUUCUAACGUGGACCCGUGAUCCGGGUUGCGGACAGUGUCUGGUGGGUAGUUUGACUGGGGCGGUCUCCUCCUAAAGAGUAACGGAGGAGCACGAAGGUUGGCUAAUCCUGGUCGGACAUCAGGAGGUUAGUGCAAUGGCAUAAGCCAGCUUGACUGCGAGCGUGACGGCGCGAGCAGGUGCGAAAGCAGGUCAUAGUGAUCCGGUGGUUCUGAAUGGAAGGGCCAUCGCUCAACGGAUAAAAGGUACUCCGGGGAUAACAGGCUGAUACCGCCCAAGAGUUCAUAUCGACGGCGGUGUUUGGCACCUCGAUGUCGGCUCAUCACAUCCUGGGGCUGAAGUAGGUCCCAAGGGUAUGGCUGUUCGCCAUUUAAAGUGGUACGCGAGCUGGGUUUAGAACGUCGUGAGACAGUUCGGUCCCUAUCUGCCGUGGGCGCUGGAGAACUGAGGGGGGCUGCUCCUAGUACGAGAGGACCGGAGUGGACGCAUCACUGGUGUUCGGGUUGUCAUGCCAAUGGCACUGCCCGGUAGCUAAAUGCGGAAGAGAUAAGUGCUGAAAGCAUCUAAGCACGAAACUUGCCCCGAGAUGAGUUCUCCCUGAGACUUAGAGUCUCCUGAAGGAACGUUGAAGACGACGACGUUGAUAGGCCGGGUGUGUAAGCGCAGCGAUGCGUUGAGCUAACCGGUACUAAUGAACCGUGAGGCUUAACCUUACA
rnacentral:rRNA from 2 species